AAUUUUGGACAAUGGGCGCAAGCCUGAUCCAGCCAUGCCGCGUGAGUGAAGAAGGCCNNNGGGUUNUAAAGCUAUUUCGGACGNAACNAAAUCGCGCAGGCUAAUACCCUGCGCGGAUGACGGUACCGUCAUAAGAAGCACCGGCUAACUUCGUGCCAGCAGCAGCGGUAAUACGUAGGGUGCGAGCGUUAAUCGGAAUUACUGGGCGUAAAGCGUGCGCAGGCGGUUGAUUAAGACAGGCGUGGAAUCCCCGGGCUUAACCUGGGAACUGCACUUGUGACUGGUCAGCUAGAGUAAGGCAGAGGGGGGUGGAAUUCCACGUGUAGCAGUGAAAUGCGUAGAGAUGUGGAGGAACACCGAUGGCGAAGGCAGCCCCCUGGGCCGAUACUGACGCUCAUGCACGAAAGCAUGGGUAGCAAACAGG
rnacentral:rRNA from 1 species